UACGGGGGGAGCAAGCGUUGUUCGGAAUUACUGGGCGUAAAGGGCGCGUAGGCGGUCUGCUAAGUUGGAUGUGAAAACUCUGGGCUUAACCCAGAGCCUGCAUUCAAAACUGACAGGCUAGAGUUCUGGAGGGGAAGCGGAAUUCCUGGUGUAGCGGGUGAAAUGCGUAGAUAUCGUAAGGAAGACCAGUGGCGAAGGCGAGUCUCUGGACAGUUCCGUGACGCUGAGGCACGAAGGCCCAGGGGAGCGAAACGGGG
rnacentral:rRNA from 1 species